ACUGCAUCAUUGAGUCACUUUGUGUCACUUACCUGCUUACCUCCUGUACUGACUCUUUGUGUCUUUGACUUUGUAAAAGGUUUUGACAGCAUUAAAAGCAUUUUUAUCUACUUCACCUCUUCUAUCCAAAUGUAUUAUGAAAGGGAAAAAUAGUUUUGAAUGAGCAAAAAGACAGCUGCUUGGAAGUAAGGCCAACUUCAUAACUAACUCCAAAUGAAAGUCUUUCCAAGAAAACUGCAAGCGGGCAAUUAAUCAUGGAAAACCUCCUUCUGGGCCUCAGAGCCAAAUUCCUCCCAGAUUCCCUCCAUGACAGUCCUGUUACAUGGCAGGGAAAGGAAGAGAGCCGCUGACAGUUAGAACUUAUAAAAAAGAAGAAUUUCUGUAAAAGUGUCUCCUGAUUCGCCUGAGGCUUUCCUGAUGCUGGACCCGAGACAAAACCGUCCAUCUGCCUCUCAUCCACUGAAGAACGUGUUCAAAGAGUUUCUGUUAACAGAUGAACUGAGACAGCCAACAGUGGAAAAGGGAAAUGUUUUUAUCUUAUUUUUUCCCUCUAGCUCAAGUCCUGAAGGGGCGUCCACAGGGAUUUUCAGAGAACAUGGAGAACAAACAGCAUCAUAAAGACCAAGGAACACAGCAGACAAGGUUGUGGUGAAACUAAAAGCAGAGUUUGGUUAUAAAACAAUAUACCAACCUGUGAAUCUCUCAUGAGGCUCUGUUUAACCCGUCAUCUGGAAAAUUAAAGAGUGCACUACUGCAAGUCUGCCAGAGAAGAACCAAGAGCCCCACACGACAUCUGGAGAAUCAAAGUGCAGCAACAUUUAUUGUUCUACCAAUCUAAACUUUCUUUAACAGAGUUUGUUUUAAAAAAAAUUAAAAAUCAUGGGACUAAGCAAACACACGGAGGCGGAUACAUCGGUCAGAAGACACUGACACCAAAUGUUGUCUUGGCCUAUAGGCAGCACUUUGUUUGGUAGAAAAUAAUACUGCACAUAACAUGGUGGUGGCAGCAUCAUGUUAUGGGAAUGCAUCUCUUCAGACAAAGACAUUUGUUGAAGCUGAUUGGGACAGUGGUGUGCCAUCCAGCAUGAACCUGAACAUAAUGGCAGAGCUACACACUAAAUUUACUGAUGUGCACAAAACUUUUUUAAUAUUCCUCAUAUGUUGAAAAACAAAAAAUCCCAAAUUGUGAUGUUUCUAUUAAAUAUGAAGUGCAAUUAAAAUCACAUGUGAA